GUUUGGCCCGGCAGGUGCCCAGCCUGAAGAUGUGAGGUGCUGCCCUGCAUCACGCUGCUCCCCCCACCACCCCUUUACCCUGUCCCACACGGACAGGUUGCCCAAAAUCUCAAGCAGUGAGGGAGAUUAGCAGCACAGUAACCGAGCCUCGAACUGCUACAGAUCUUGCUACCAUCCUUGUGGUCUGCCCUGAGAUGUUUGCUGUCUGAAAAGCAGCGCUGCAUUUCUACCCUGUUUCAGUGUUGAGAUACCAGAAACGUUUUGAAGGAAAGUAAAGUGAAUAGCUAUUUUGCACUAUGCUGGGUUGGAAGUACAGGAAGGAUCUGGCUGCAUGGUUCAGUGAUCCAUGGCUCAGGACAACAGCAGUCUGUCUUUGCACUGGCUAAAGUGACUGCAGGGGAGUCUUGCUGUCAGGACCAAAGGUUAGAUUCCAGUCCUGCUGAAAGACUGAUGUUCCCAAGAAAAAGAAGAUUCAAUAUGAAGUAUCACCUGGCAAAGUUCAACCUCUAUCUCGCUGAGUUGAUGCAAUAUAAGAAGACCUGUGCCUCUAUUGUUUGUGCUUCUGUGUUCUUUCUGAAUAAAAUAAAGUAAUAAAAUGAAAAUAAACUAAAAUAAUAGCAUAAA